rnacentral:rRNA from 1 species
UACGAGGGGGGCAAGCGUUGUUCGGAAUUAUUGGGCGUAAAGGGUGCGUAGGCGGUUUGGUAAGUCUGAUGUGAAAUCUAUGGGCUCAACUCAUAGUCUGCAUCGGAAACUGCCGGGCUUGAGUGUGGGAGAGGUGAGUGGAAUUCCUGGUGUAGCGGUGAAAUGCGUAGAUAUCAGGAGGAACACCUGUGGCGAAAGCGGCUCACUGGACCAUAACUGACGCUGAGGCACGAAAGCCAGGGGAGCAAACGGG